rnacentral:rRNA from 1 species
GAUGAACGCUGGCGGCGUGCCUAAUACAUGCAAGUCGAGCGAACAGACGAGGAGCUUGUUCCUCUGACAUUAGCGGCGGACGGGUGAGUAACACGUGGAUAACCUACCUAUAAGACUGGGAUAACUUCGGGAAACCGGAGCUAAUACCGGAUAAUAUAUUGAACCGCAUGGUUCAAUAGUGAAAGACGGUUUUGCUGUCACUUAUAGAUGGAUCGGCGCCGCAUUAGCUAGUUGGUAAGGUAACGGCUUACCAAGGCAACGAUGCGUAGCCGACCUGAGAGGGUGAUCGGCCACACGGGAACUGAGACAGGGUCCAGACCCCUACGGGAGGAAGCGGAAGGGAAUCUUCCGCAAUGGGCGAAGGCCUGACGGAGAAACGCCGCGUGGUGGAUGAAGGUCUUCGGAUCGUAAAACUCUGUGAUUAGGGAAGAACAAAUGUGUAAGGAACUAUGCACGUCCUGACGGUACCUAAUCAGAAAGCCACGGCUAACUACGUG